rnacentral:rRNA from 1 species
GAUGAAUGCUGACAGAAUGCUUAACACAUGCAAGUCUUUGGCGAAUCUGUGCUUGCACAGGCUAGCCAAGGCGGACGGGUGAGUAACGCGUAAAGAACUUGCCCUGCAGACAGGGAUAACAGACGGAAACGACUGAUAACACCUGAUACAGUUGCCGGCACGCAUGUGCCUGGCAAUGAAAAGAGAUGCUGCAGGAGAGCUUUGCGUCCUAUUAGCUUGUUGGUGAGGUGACGGCUCACCAAGGCGAUGAUAGGUAGCCGGCCUGAGAGGGUGAACGGCCACAAGGGGACUGAGAUACGGCCCUUACUCCUACGGGAGGCAGCAGUGGGGAAUAUUGGACAAUGGGGGCAACCCUGAUCCAGCAAUUCUGUGUGCACGAAGAAGGUUUUCGGAGUGUAAAGUGCUUUCAGCAGGGAAGAAGAAAGUGACGGUACCUGCAGAAGAAGCGACGGCUAAAUACGUG